CCUACGGGAGGCAGCAGUGAGGAAUAUUGGUCAAUGGGCGCAAGCCUGAACCAGCCAAGUCGCGUGAGGGAUGACGGUCCUAUGGAUUGUAAACCUCUUUUGUCGGGGAGCAAGGCCCGCCACGUGUGGCGGGAAGGAGAGUACCCGAAGAAAAAGCAUCGGCUAACUCCGUGCCAGCAGCCGCGGUAAUACGGAGGAUGCGAGCGUUAUCCGGAUUUAUUGGGUUUAAAGGGUGCGUAGGCGGAAGGUUAAGUCAGCGGUAAAAUGUCGGUGCUCAACACCGGCCUGCCGUUGAAACUGGUCUUCUUGAGUGAGCGAGAAGUAUGCGGAAGGCGUGGUGUAGCGGUGAAAUGCAUAGAUAUCACGCAGAACUCCGAUUGCGAAGGCAGCAUACCGGCGCUCAACUGAUGCUGAGGCACGAAAGCGUGGGGAUCGAACAGGAUUAGAUACCCGGGUAGUC
rnacentral:rRNA from 1 species